rnacentral:misc_RNA from 1 species
GAUGAAGAACGUAGCGAAAUGCGAUAAGUAGUGUGAAUUGCAGAAUUCAGUGAAUCAUCGAAUCUUUGAACGCACAUUGCGCCCUGUGGUAUUCCGCAGGGCAUGCCUGUUCGAGCGUCAUUGACACCCUCAAGCUCUGCUUGGUCUUGGGCGUUUGUGCCUGCCGUUGCGCAGGGACUCGCCUCAAACUCAUUGGCAGCCUGCCUUUGCCGGUCUUUGCACAGCACAGUCGUGCCAAAGCCGCGGUGAGCAGGCGCUCCACAAGCCCUUUUCAGCUUGACCUCGGAUCAGGUAGGAAUACCUGCUGAACUUAAGCAUAUCAAUAAGCGGAGGA